GCCCGCCUAGCUCAAUCGGAUAGAGCGUCAGACUCUUAAAUAGGCGGUGAAAUCUGAAGGCUGCGAGUUCGACCCUCGCGGUGGGCU
rnacentral:tRNA from 1 species